rnacentral:misc_RNA from 1 species
GAAGAAUCAGAAGAAGAAAUCUGAAUCAACCAACAAAAGUGAUCCAUCUUCUAAGGUAGAUGCACAUUCUUUACCAUUCAAGUUAACUUUUUACCACAAAAGGAAUGUUUUGAAUCCAAGCAGGGUUCGGAAUUUUUUGCUUGUUUGACUGCUGUUUUCUAGUAGCUCUAUCUACAAGAGUCUUUUCCGGCUGAGUGUAUAACUUCUCAAUUUAACUGGAAAUGGCUUAUUUGUGUGCUCAAUGACAAAAUGUACCAACAGACAUUUAUCAACUGCUCAUCAAAAUUGAAAACUUUAUUCUUCAUGUUCAAUUUGAACUGAUUAUU